AACGAACGCUGGCGGCGUGCCUAACACAUGCAAGUCGAACGGAGAUAAGAAGCUUGCUUCUUAUUCUAGUGGCGCACGGGUGAGUAACGCGUGGAUAAUCUACCUGACGCUCUGGGAUAACAUCUCGAAAGGGGUGCUAAUACCGGAUAAGCCCACGAGACCUUCGGGUCAUGCGGGAAAAGGAGGGGACCUUCGGGCCUUCCGACAUCAGAUGAGUCCGCGUCCCAUUAGCUAGUUGGCGGGGUAAUGGCCCACCAAGGCUACGAUGGGUAGCUGGGCUGAGAGGAUGAGCCGCCACACUGGAACUGAGACACGGUCCAGACUCCUACGGGAGGCAGCAGUGGGGAAUUUUGCGAAAUGGGGGAAACCCUGACGCAGCAACGCCGCGUGAGUGAUGAAGGCUUUCGGGUCGUAAAGCUCUGUCAGAAGGGAAGAAAUGUAGGUGGCUAAUAUCCAUUCUACUUGACGGUACCUUCAAAGGAAGCACCGGCUAACUCCGUGCCAGCCGCCGCCGUAAUAC
rnacentral:rRNA from 1 species